ACUCCUACGGGAGGCAGCAGUGGGGAAUAUUGCACAAUGGGCGCAAGCCUGAUGCAGCCAUGCCGCGUGUGUGAAGAAGGCCUUCGGGUUGUAAAGCACUUUCAGUCGUGAGGAAGGUAGUGUAGUUAAUAGCUGCAUUAUUUGUACGUUAGCGACAGAAGAAGCACCGGCUAACUCCGUGCCAGCAGCCGCGGUAAUACGGAGGGUGCGAGCGUUAAUCGGAAUUACUGGGCGUAAAGCGCAUGCAGGUGGUUUGUUAAGUCAGAUGUGAAAGCCCGGGGCUCAACCUCGGAAUAGCAUUUGAAACUGGCAGACUAGAGUACUGUAGAGGGGGUAGAAUUUCAGGUGUAGCGGUGAAAUGCGUAGAGAUCUGAAGGAAUACCGGUGGCGAAGGCGGCCCCUGGACAGAUACUGACACUCAGAUGCGAAAGCGUGGGAGCAAACAGGAUUAGAUACCCCUGGUAGACUGUCA
rnacentral:rRNA from 1 species